rnacentral:rRNA from 1 species
AUAGGGGAGCCGUAGGGAAACCGAGUCUUAACUGGGCGAAUGAGUUGCAGGGUAUAGACCCGAAACCCGGUGAUCUAGCCAUGGGCAGGUUGAAGGUUGGGUAACACUAACUGGAGGACCGAACCGACUAAUGUUGAAAAAUUAGCGGAUGACUUGUGGCUGGGGGUGAAAGGCCAAUCAAACCGGGAGAUAGCUGGUUCUCCCCGAAAGCUAUUUAGGUAGCGCCUCGUGAACUCAUCUUCGGGGGUAGAGCACUGUUUCGGCUAGGGGGUCAUCCCGACUUACCAACCCGAUGCAAACUACGAAUACCGAAGAAUGUUAUCACGGGAGACACACGGCGGGUGCUAACGUUCGUCGUGAAGAGGGAAACAACCCAGACCGCCAGCUAAGGUCCCAAAGUCAUGGUUAAGUGGGAAACGAAGUGGGAAGGCUCAGACAGCCAGGAUGUUGGCUUAGAAGCAGCCAUCAUUUAAAGAAAGCGUAAUAGCUCACUGGUCGAGUCGGCCUGCGCGGAAGAUGUAACGGGGCUAAACCAUGCACCGAAGCUGCGGCAGCGACAUGUA